rnacentral:misc_RNA from 1 species
GAUGAAGAACGUAGCGAAAUGCGAUACUUGGUGUGAAUUGCAGAAUCCCGUGAACCAUCGAGUCUUUGAACGCAAGUUGUGCCCGAAGCCACUAGGCCGAGGGCACGCCUGCCUGGGUGUCACACGUCGUUGCCCCCCCCCAUCUACUCCUUCGGGAUUGCGGGGGGCGGAUGAUGGCCUCCCGUGCGCCUAGCCGCGCGGUUGGCAUAAAUACCAAGUCCUCGGCGACGCACGCCACGACAAUCGGUGGUUGCGAAACCUCGGUUGCCCGUCGUGUGCGUUCGUCGCGCAUCGAGGGCUCGAAAAAAUGCUCGGCUCCGGCUCGGCUUUCAACGCGACCCCAGGUCAGGCGGGGUUACCCGCUGAAUUUAAGCAUAUAAAUAAGCGGAGGA